GGUUCUGCACAGAGGACACAUGCAAGCUGAACAAGCCUAACUGAUAGACCGAGGUUAUCAGCCGGAAAGCCCUGGGUGUGUGGGUGAGGCAGCCCUCAUGACCAUCCUGAGGAAGCCGAGGGGCCCUUUGACCAGGAAGCCAUGAGGCUGAACGGAGAAUGCAUCAGACACAGCAAGCAGGGCUCCAAUUACUAGGUAGAGGGCACGAGGAGCCCAAGUCCCCCCAAAAUGGCAUUUCCUCAUUCCACUGUACACUGACGUGGAGAAUUUUUCAAAAACACA
rnacentral:lncRNA from 1 species